rnacentral:rRNA from 1 species
AUUGAACGCUGGCGGCAUGCCUUACACAUGCAAGUCGAACGGUAACAGGUCUUCGGAUGCUGACGAGUGGCGAACGGGUGAGUAAUACAUCGGAACGUGCCUAGUAGUGGGGGAUAACUACUCGAAAGAGUGGCUAAUACCGCAUGAGAUCAAGGGAUGAAAGAAGGGGAUCGCAAGACCUUGUGCUACCAGAGCGUCCGAUGGCGGAUUAGGUAGUUGGCGGGAUAAAAGCUUACCAAGCCGACGAUCUGUAGCUGGUCUGAGAGGACGAUCAGCCACACUGGGACUGAGACACGGCCCAGACUACUACGGGAGGCAGCAGUGGGGAAUGUUGGACAAUGGGCGAAAGCCUGAUCCAGCAAUGCCGCGUGCAGGAUGAAGGCCUUCGGGUUGUAAACUGCUUUUGUACGGAACGAAAAGCCCCGGGUUAAUACCCUGGGGUCAUGACGGUACCGUAAGAAUAAGCACCGGCUAACUACGUGCCAGCCGCCGCAGUAA